rnacentral:lncRNA from 10 species
GCCUGGCCCUCUGGGUUGGUUUUAUUCUCAGGCAGGCUCUCCCGUCCUAAGGGAGCCAGGGAGGCGGGGUCAGCCCCACCUGAACUACAGAUGAUGAGAGAAAAGAAGAAAGCUGUUUUCCUCAACGAGAUCCGGGGCGCCAUUACCAGGAGGAACAGAUGCUGAGUUGGUAAAAGCAACAGCUGUCCCCAACAGAAGCAAACUCCUAUUUCCCAGGCCCCUUGGCUAAGUCUCACCACCACCCAUUUUACA